AUAAAAAUACCUUUUUUGAGUCAUUAACAUAAAAUGAAGAAAACAGCAGCAGCCAAGAAGAGAGAUGUUGAAAUUUAAGAGAGGAAGACAGAGAAGAAAAAUCCACUGGAUACCUUAUGUGUAAUUCACCAAUCUGUUGGAACACUUCUGCCACGUGUGAAGAGUUUUGGCAGACCAAAUCCACAUGCCUGAAGUGAUGCCCACCAACAAAGACAUAAAAAUUUUCAACAUUUCAACAGCCAUGUUGGAAUCAUCUGCAGAAUACCGAAAAAGUGCCCAGUUGGAGAUUUCAUAAAAAUAACAGGCAAUCACACACGUUGCAGGAACUGUGUACAGUACUGAGAACACCCCAAUCUUGACCAUCAGUCUUUCUAACUUGUCUGUCUUUGUCCCAUCCUUUUGAAGAUUUGACCGAAUUUUGAACAAGGCCACCAAACCUGCAGCAAUGAACAAAGUUCCAAUGACCAAAUAAGUAAAGAGGGGAGCCACCACGAACCCGGUGAGGGCAUCGAGAUUUUGGUUUCCAACAUAGCACAGGCCAGUCAGUUCAUCUGCAUCCACCAGUCUCAUAAUCAAGAUGACAAUGGUUUUCACUGCGGGGAUGGCCCAGGCUGCAAUGUGGAAAUAAGAGCUGUGCAUUUCAAUGGCUUCAUGACCCCAUUUGAGUCCUGCUGCCAAAAACCAAGUGAGUGUCAGAAUAACCCACCAAAUGGAGCUGGCCAUUCCAAAAAAGUACAUCAGCAAGAAAAUUAUUGCACAUCCUGUGUUCUUAAGUCCUUCUUGGAUGAGAACAGGUUCUGCUGCCUCUUCAAAAUCACAGGAUAUCCUUUCCCGGCCUACAGUCAGCCUGACAAUAUAAGCAAUGCUAUAAAUAUUAUAGCACAUACUGAGAAAUAUGAUGGGGCGCUCAGGGUAGGAAAACCUAGAAGAAUCGAUCAGGAAGGUCAGUACUGUGAAGGCAGUGGAGAUGAAACACAGGCUGGCCCACACAGCCAUCCAGAUAUCAGUGAACUCCUUGGCUGAGCGGCUGUAUAAGCCAGCAUCAUAGCCACACUUGAGCACACAGUUCAGGCUCCUUUUCACCCAGAUGUACUGAUCAGAAUUGGUUCCCACAGAGUGACACUCUUCCCCAGGCUGGAUGGGGGUUUUGUGAGGUAAGGGCACCUCUUCAUCACCUGGCCCUUCCAUACACAUGUGGUUGUGGUCGUUCUGUGGUGGGAAUUUGCUGCAGUUCAGACUCUCUGGCCAGGCAAAUCCAAAUUCCUUCAGGACGGGUUCACAGCGUCUCUUGACUGAAAGACACAUGCCGCCGCAUGGGCCAAUGGGGAUGUUGAUCUUCUCUGUGCACAUUGGCACAUAAACAGAACAAAGGAAGAACUGGAAAAGUAACAAAAUGAACACACAAAAAAAAACAAUGACUUGGAAGUUUGACCAAAUGCUCCCACAAAGCUGAGUUGAAUGCUUCCAGGCAAUGUAGGUAUCUACUUUUAAACCAACCUAUCGGGAGUCUGUCUGUUUACUCUGACCUCAAACAAGGGCGCCUGAUAAUCCAUCACUUACACACUUUUCUUAGUUUGGCUUUAGUAAUCCUUUCCAGAAGAAUGUACAUAAAUAAAUAAAUAAAAUAAAUAGGGUCUGAAGAAUUGCAUAAGCCCUCUUUGCACAACACUUGAAAUAAAUCUUAAAAAACUGGCUUUCAAUCUCCUUCCAUUUUAGAAACUAUUUGAAAAAGCUAAAGAAACUAAUAUGACUCAUUUAGGUGGUUUAUUUUUAUCCCCGUUUCUUUAUCAUUUUAAAAAUAAAAGUUAAAAAAAAUGUAGAUCCUGUUAGUAUUCUCUUCUCCCUAAUUUAUCCCUUAAAAAUUUGUUUAAACUAGUCCCAUACUGAAACAAAAAAUGGCCCAAAUGAGACACUGUUAGACUCAAGGAUGGGAUGCAGAUUGAGGUCUCUGGUCACUAGGGAUUUGUUUGGCCAGGUUUCCUCAAUGAAUAAUAAUGAAGCACAAUAGGAAAAUGUAAAUGUUAAGUCGCUGAAACUGCAGUACCAGCAGGGGAGAGUCCAGUUGCUGUCCUCAAUUCCUCCAGCAUUGAUAAACAGUCUGCUUGGCUCCUUACAGAUGUUGUCUAUGAAGUCUAGAGUUACAAGUAACUAUUUUCCAGCAUGUAAAGGGAUCCAGUCUUGUCCUUCAAAACAGCUUGGCCGCUUUCCCCAGGAUACAUGUAAUUAAAAAUAUAUAUCCCUGCAAAAGCUGUUUCUCCAACAAAUUGCCACUGAUGUCAGGAUAUGUGCUGUUUCCAAACUGAGAGCUGGAGGAUCAUUUCUUAAGCUUUUAUAACCUAGUUCUAAAGUUCUGGAACUUCCAAAGGGAUAUUUUAGCAGCAACAGGUCUAAUCCCCACCAUCUUUCCAAAACCACAAACCAAGUUUUAAAAUGACCUACGUAAAAACAUGCACCUAGUAAGUAAGCUGUAUGUCUGUUUAUUAUCUCUCAGAAGUUACAGCCAGAACCACAGAUUUCUUUUCUUUUCUUUUCUUUUUUUUUUGAUACGGAGUUUCGCUCCUGUGGCCCAGGCUAGAGUGCAAUGGUGCAAUCCCCGCUCACUGCAACCUCCGCCUCCUGGGUUCAAGCGAUUCUCCUGCCUCAGCCUCCUGAGUAGCUGGGAUUACAGGCGCACGCCACCACGCCCGGCUAAUUUUUGUACUUUUAGUAGAGACAGGAUUUCACCAUGUUGGUCAGGCUGGUCUCGAACUCCUGAUCUUGUGAGCCACCCGCCUCGGCCUCCCAAAGUGCUGGGAUUACAAGCGUGAGCCACUGCGCCCGGCCAGAAACCAGAUUUCUGAAGCCCGGACAACUAACGUCUACUUUUUCCCACGACUUCUCUCUUUUCUAAAUUUCUAAAAAUCACCCAGCCUCACCAACCCAAACAUAACCAAUGUUAACACUUUAAAAAUUUUCCUUUCAGUCUUUUAUUAUCCCAAUGAAUUUUUUAUUUUGCAGGAUUAUAAUCACCCUGUAUAUGCAAAUUCUUAUUACUGUGGAAUAAACAUUUUCUCUAUCAUUA